rnacentral:rRNA from 1 species
UACGGGGGGGGCAAGCGUUGUUCGGAAUUACUGGGCGUAAAGGGCUCGUAGGCGGCCAACUAAGUCAGACGUGAAAUCCCUCGGCUUAACCGGGGAACUGCGUCUGAUACUGGAUGGCUUGAGUUCGGGAGAGGGAUGCGGAAUUCCAGGUGUAGCGGUGAAAUGCGUAGAUAUCUGGAGGAACACCGGUGGCGAAGGCGGCAUCCUGGACCGACACUGACGCUGAGGAGCGAAAGCUAGGGGAGCGAACAGG